CGGGUGUCUGGCUGUAGAAGGUAGUAUGGAGAUUCGCCAAUAGUCAAGCAGUCUAUCAGUUUUUGACUGCUGGUAUAUAAACGACUACAAGAAUACAUUGUAAAUCUAUACAGAUGCCCUUCGACUGCUUGUCGAAGUCCUUUUUGCCCUAGCCGGUAGGUCUCUAGACGUUACAGAGAACCCCGAACAACCCAAUCUGCUAAUCUCCGAUACCGCUUUGUACUUAUGAUCUUGUAUCCACUGACUGUCUUGUUAGAUUAACUCAAUAAAUUUCAUUCACUCUGCAUACUCAAUCCUAUAGACACCCUUUUAAUUCUUCAAUCAUAGACGUAACUCGAUUUCACAAAACAGUCAAGAGUUAUCAAACCCGGUUCAUUAAAAAAUCCCGAUUCACCAUUACAACACUGACUUUAGUAACGAUUGCCUCAGUCUUCUCAAAACUCUAUGAAGAAGAAAAACCCAAUUCUCCGUCUUUUCUUCUCCGACCCGAAGCAUGAAGCUCCUCUCCAAUCCCCUUGAUCUUCAAAAACUUCCAAUGAAACCGAACUAAUAACCUUGAAAAGAGCUUGAAGCUAGCUCUUUGAUCCAAAACCCCCCACCCCCCCCCCCCCGAUCUGAAAAAAAAAAAAAAAAAAAACCCCUCAAAACUUAUUCUCCCCCUAACCUUAUCCUCUGAAUUUCUUCAAUCUUCCGUCUUGGAUCCGGAAUUGGUUCCCAUCGUCAGAGCUUAGAUCCAAAAUUGGCUCCCGCCGUUAAUGCUUUCUCCUCCGUUUUUACCUUUAAGAGAUCCAUUUACCGAAAACAACCUUCUUUGAAACGGCACAGAGAAUAGGACAGCUUGAAACAGAAUCGAAACCCCGUAUUCGGGUCCACAUUGAGUCGCUCGACCAAUUCAGGUCUCAUAUUGGGUAAGAUGCCCCUGGUAACCUAGAUGUUCCCGUAAUUGGAUCAAAUUGCUCCUUCGCGUCAGAAUGGCUAAGGUCCGUAGUAAGACCUGGAUGUUCCCGUAAUUAGACUGUAUUGAGUUGCCCGACCAAUGCAGGUCUCAUAUUGGUUAAGAUGCCCGUAGUAACCUGGAUGUUCCCGUAAUUAGACUGCAUUGGGUUGCCGGACCAAUGCAGGUCUCAUAUUGGGUAAGAUGCCUAUAAUAACCUGGAUGUUCCCGUAACUAGACUACAUUGAGUUGCCCGACCAAUGCAUGUCUCAUAUUGAGUAAGAUGCCCGUAAUAACCUAGAUGUUUUCGUAAUCAGAUGUCAUGGACAUACAUUGGAAGAUUCUUCGAAUAUUCUUUUAGAAUAUUCUCUAAAGAUUCUCUAAAGAUUCCUUUAGAAGGUUCUAGAAGAUUCUUAGAAUAUUCCCUAAAGAUUCUCUUAGAAGGUUCUAGAAUAUUCUUAGAAGGUUCUAGAAUAUUCUGAUAGAUUCUAGGAAGUUGCUUGAGAAGUUUCCUAAUUAGUAGAAGUUGUUGGAGAAGCGUCCUAGUUAGCGGAAGUAGCUCGAGAAGCUUCCUAUUCAGUAGUAUAUAUAGGAGUCGAGGCUGAAGGGUUCUUCAGUCUCGACAACACAUCUCUUGGAGUUCUAGCUCACCUUUCUGGUGUUGUUCUUGUACUCAUCUGUUUAAUCUAGUUUUGCCACUUCUUCUUAAACUUCUUCUUAGAUUUCAAGUCUCUAUUUUGUGUCCGUGACAGUUUGUCGAGACUACAUUUUCACUGGUAUCAGAGCUAGUUCCUUCUUGUUAGAGAGUGGAUUACCCCUCUUCUUGAAGGUGUGCUAGUGUUUUAGAGGUUGCGGAUUACCCUCUUCUAAACUGAUAUCUCUUCUUUCUCAAUAUUGGAGCCUUAUUCUUCUUGGAGAGAGUGGAUUACCCCUCAUCUUGGAGUCUUAAGGCGUUUUAGAGGUUGCGGAGUACCCUCCUCUGAACCAAUAUUGUCCUCUUGUCAAAACUCUUUUUUCUUCUUUUUGAAGGUUAGCCGAAGGUUAAGACGUUAAAAUGGCUGUAAGUUUGGAAUCCAAACUAGACGCCAUCAUAAAUGCUCUUGCCUCGUUGUCACAUAGGACAACAGAGAUCGAAGGAGUCAUGGUAGGACUCCAUAACAAUGGAGCAUCUGGAAUAGCGCCAUCUAAAGUAUAUCAGCCUCAAACUUCUGCGCCAGAAGAAGCAGUUCUACCUCCAUUUCAACAAGAUCGAGUAGUCCUACAACGAAAAGAGCCUCGAGUUAGUCUUCCGGAUAAGUUUGAUGGAACUCGUUCCAAGUUUCGAGGUUUUGUCAACCAAAUCAGGUUGAUAACAAUUUUACAGCCCGAACGUUAUCCGACGGAGGAAGCGCGUGUUGGGCUUGUUGGAACCUUGCUUACAGCACAAGCUCUGUCUUGGUUUACUCCCUUGUUUGAGAAGCGAUCGCCAAUCCUGACCAACUUUGAAACGUUCUUGGAGGCGUUUGCAGAAGCAUUUGGCGAGCAUGAUAAAGUUCGAUGGGCUACAACAAAGAUCCGAUCGCUACGACAAGGAACACGCUCUGCAUCAGUCUAUGCCUCGGAUUUCAGACAAUUGGCAAGUAACAUUAAUUGGGGUGAAGAGGCGUUGGUGAGUCAGUUUUAUUGGGGCUUGAAGGAUGAUGUGAAGGACUUGCUGUUAUCUCUUCCUGAUCCUCAAACGCUCAACGAAGCUAUUAGCCAAGUUGUAAAGUGUGACAACCGCCUAUUCCAGCGUCGCCAAGACCAACGUCCAAGACACCAAAUGACUCGUUACGACAUGACUAUGUCUGCAAAUAGCUUAAACUCACAUUCGGAGGCAACAGACAUGCAAAUCGACACUGCGCGUGUCCGAUCUCUUACUCCAACAGAGAAGAAACGGCGUAUGGAGGAAGGGUUAUGUUUGUAUUGUGGAGAAGAAGGUCACAAGGUUGGAAAUUGCCCAAAGAAGCAAAAUUGGCACCCUGUCAAGACUAGAAGUGCGAUGAUUCCGGAAAACGACGAUGCCCAGCCACAGUAGGAACCGUGCGGCUGAACAAUCUAAUAUCACGACAACAAUCAGGUUCCUCCUUCUCUGUCCAACCUGCCCGUUGUUUUACAAUUCCUUUGUUUUUAGGCCCUCAAAAACAAAAAACUUUAGCUUUAUUGGAUUCAGGGGCAUCUACUUGUUUUUUAGAUGAAGAGUUUGCUAAACGCCACAAGAUCCGUUUAGUACAGAAGUCCAAACCUGUUCACGUAGAGGUGAUAGAUGGACGACCCUUAUUGUCAGGCAACGUUACCCACGAAUCAGAACCUAUAGAAGUGGUGUUUAAGGACCAUAGUAGUCACGUUAUUUUUAAUAUUAUUAGAACCCCAUCAAGCCCUGUUAUCCUUGGUCUUUCUUGGUUAGAAGAUCAUAAUCCGUCCAUUGAUUGGAGGCUACGAAGGAUAACAUUUCCUGAAAAAAAUAAUAAUAAACCUGUUGGUAGAACCUACAUGAAGAAAUCCAUGUUUAUUGGAGCGAGAGCGUUCCUAAGAUCGUCCAAGGAAGGCGCACCAUUUGUCAUUUAUGCAGCUCCAACUAGCGGCGAGAAUAUCUCAACAUCGAAUAUACCAGAGCAAUAUAGGGAUUUUGAAGACGUGUUUCAGAAGAAGAACGCCGAUAUACUGCCGGAACAUCGACCAUAUGAUUGCGCCAUAGACUUAGAGGAAGGAGCGCAACCACCUUUUGGUCCAAUAUACAACCUAUCGCAGACGGAGUUGGCAGAAUUGCGGAAGUACAUCGAUGAGAAUCUAGCCAAGAAUUUUAUUCGACAUUCAAAGUCGCCAGCUGGAGCACCAAUCCUAUUCGUGAAGAAAAAAGAUGGCUCACUGCGGAUGUGCGUGGACUACCGAGGACUCAACAAGGUGACCAAGAAAAAUCGCUAUCCCUUACCUUUGAUCUCCGGCCUCUUAGAUCAACUUGGACGUGCAAGAAUUUUUAUAAAGAUUGAUUUAAGAGGAGCCUACAACCUUGUGCGAAUCAAAGAAGGAGAUGAAUGGAAGACAGCCUUUCGUACAAGGUAUGGCCAUUUUGAGUACAAUGUCAUGCCUUUUCGUCUUACCAAUGCUCCAGCGGUCUUUCAACAUAUGAUGAACGACAUCUUUCGGGAGUACCUCGAUGACUUUGUUGUCAUCUAUCUGGAUGAUAUUUUGAUAUUUUCCAAGAAUGAAGAAGAACAUGAGAAGCACGUUUGUUUGGUUCUUGAAAAACUACGCGAACGAGGACUCUACGCCAAGUUGGAGAAGUGUCAAUUUCACCAGAAUGAGAUGGAAUUUUUGGGCUUCAUUGCGACUACAGAGGGCUUGAAGAUGGAUCCAAAAAAGGUAGAAGCAAUUAUAUCUUGGGAAGUUCCGAAGACGAUUAGAGAUGUUCAGUGUUUUCUUGGAUUUGCUAACUUCUAUCGGAUCUUCAUCAAGAAUUAUUCUCAAGUUGCUGCACCACUCACGCGUCUAACAAGCAAAGACAAGCUCGAAUGGAGAUCACAAGCAGCAAAAGCAUUUCAAGAUCUCAAGACGGCAUUCACUACGGCUCCAAUCUUGGUACACCCUGACUUUACAAAGGCUUUCUAUUUAGAGACCGAUGCUUCAGAUUUUGCUUUGGGAGCUGUGCUUUCACAGAUGGGCAUAGACAAGAAGCUUCACCCAGUUGCGUUCUAUUCACGAAAGUUCUCUGCUGCUGAGAUCAACUACGAGAUCCACGACAAAGAGCUGCUUGCUAUAGUGGAUGCCUUCCAAGAGUGGCGUCACUUCCUCGAAGGAGCUGCACAUCCAGUGACUGUUUAUACGGACCAUAAGAAUUUGGAGUACUUCAUGACAGCUCGAAUUUUGAAUCGUCGUCAAGCUCGAUGGAAUAUGUCUCUAUCACGAUUUGACUUUAUUAUCACCUACCGCCCUGGAAAACAACAAGGAUUAUCUGAGGCAUUAUCGAGGAGAUCGUAUCUUGCGCCAAAGGCUGGAGAAGAAGCGUUUGAUCAACAAUGUACAACAUUGUUGAAACCAGAAAAAUUCAGGAUUUUUGCUACUGUUGCAACUAUCGAUGACGGCUUCCUCAGCGAGGUACGUACUGCGACCAUUGAGGAUUCUAUAGCUCUUGACAUCAAACAACGUGUCGAUAAUGACAAGUUUAAGGUGGAAGGAGAUCUUCUGUAUUUUGAGGAGCGGUUGUAUAUCCCAAAAGGACCAACUCGACUCCGAGUACUUCAAUCUCGGCACGACUUUCCAGCUGCGGGACAUUUUGGAUUCAACAAGACUUUGGAGCUUAUUUCACGAGAUUUUUGGUGGCCCCAAAUGUGGAAGGAUGUGAAAGAAUUUGUCCUUUCUUGUGAUGUUUGUUCAAGAUCCAAGAUCCCUCGACAUCGUCCAUAUGGACUUCUCCAGCCAUUGCCUAUUCCGCACCGACCAUGGUCUUCAGUUUCUAUGGACUUCAUUACGGACCUACCGCCAUCGAAUUCAUUUGACAGCAUCUUUGUUGUGGUGGAUCGAUUUACAAAGAUGGCGCAUUUCGUGCCUUGCAAGAAAACAUCGUCAAGUGAAGACACCGCAAGACUCUUUCUUGAUAACAUAUAUCGUUAUCAUGGCCUACCAGAUGAUAUCGUGUCGGAUCGAGGUACUCAGUUUGUAUCCAAGUUUUGGAGGUCCCUCUUUGAGAUAUUGAAGGUGGAUAUUAAGCUCUCUUCGGCUUUUCAUCCUCAAACUGAUGGUCAAACGGAGCGGGUGAAUCAAGUUUUGGAGCAAUAUUUAGGAUGCACCAUCAACUAUCAACAAGAUGAUUGGACUGCAUAUCUACCACUUGCUGAGUUCGCAUACAACAACACUCUUCAUGCGUCAACUCAACAAACACCAUUCUUCUCCAACUACGGAUACCACCCCAAGCUCGAUUUAUUGAGUUCUUCAGUAAAUAACAACCCAACAGCUGAAGGAUUUGUGAAGCAACUAUCGGAGCUUCAAGCGAUGUUGAAGCUUCAAUUGCAAUCUGCCCAAGAGAGUUACAAGGCAUCUGCAGAUAAAUAUCGAAAUGAGGUGCCUACUUUUAAAGUUGGAAGUAAAGUAUGGCUUCUUCGACGGAAUAUCAAGACCAAGCGGCCAUGUGACAAAUUGGACUAUCGGAGAUUAGGACCAUUUGUUAUCGAGAAGCAGAUCAAUCCGGUGGCAUAUCGUCUGGAGUUACCAGCUACUAUGAAGGUACAUCCAGUCUUUCACGUGUCUUUGUUGGAACCUUAUCGAGAGUCAGCUUUUCCCCAAAGAGUACAAAGUCCGCCACCAAGUAUCGAAAUUGAAAACCAUGAGGAAUACGAGGUGGAAAAGGUACUAGAUUCACGGCGUAAUAGAAGAAAAUUGGAGUAUUUAGUGCAUUGGAGUGGAUACGACAUCAAUGAACGAACGUGGGAGCGUGCCGAAAAUCUUGCCAAUGCGCCAAAAAAGGUACAAGAAUUUCAUCAACGAUAUCCUCAUAAACCUAAGCCGAUUCAACGAUAGCUUCUUGCUGAAGCUUGCUCAUCAAGUAGCAUAAAAAGGGAGGAGGGCACUUCCAAAACCCAUAGUUCGAUAGUGUAGAACUUUGUUAGCAACUAUAGUUUGCUCUCAUCAUUUUAGCCUUUAGACAUGGAUAGUCAAGAUACUACACUUGUUAUGUCAUCUCAAGCGACUAGCUCACAAAGACGACCGCGAGAUGAAGAACCGCCUACACCACGACGACGUCGGAAGAUACCGAGCAACAGAUCGCUAGUAAUUGUAUUUGAGGUCGAGCCUGCCUACGACGGUCAGCCAGAAGGUGUGUUUGGAGGACAGUUUCACAAUGAAGACACAGAAGUCCACGCUUGGUCAGAGGUUGAAGGUGUUGGUCACUACCGUUGGCUCCAAGGGCCGAUGAAUCAUUUGCCUCGCGAACAACAAUUGGAAUUCAUAGCGGAUGUGAUGCGACAGAUUUUCAUUUUCUUGCGUUGGUAUUGACUGAUAACAACAUUGCUUCUCGGAGACCUCGAAGCUAGAAGAGGAGGUGAUGUCAUGGACAUACAUUGGAAGAUUCUUCGAAUAUUCUUCUAGAAUAUUCUCUAAAGAUUCUCUAAAGAUUCCUUUAGAAGGUUCUAGAAGAUUCUUAGAAUAUUCCCUAAAGAUUCUUUUAGAAGGUUCUAGAAUAUUCUGAUAGAUUCUAGGAAGUUGCUCGAGAAGUUUCCUAAUUAGUAGAAGUUGUUGGAGAAGCGUCCUAGUUAGCGGAAGUAGCUCGAGAAGCUUCCUAUUCAGUAGUAUAUAUAGGAGUCGAGGCUGAAGGGUUCUUCACUCUCGACAACACAUCUCUUGGAGUUCUAGCUCACCUUUCUGGUGUUAUUCUUGUACUCAUCUGUUUAAUCUAGUUUUGCCACUUCUUCUUAAACUUCUUCUUAGAUUUCAAGUCUCUAUUUUGUGUCCGUGACAUCAGACUACAUUGGGUUGCCCAACCAAUGCAGGUCUCACAUUAGGUAAGAUGCCCGUAGUAACCAGGAUGUUCCCGUAAUUAGACUGCAUUGGAUUGCGUGACCAAUGCAGGUCUCAUAUUACAUAAGAGGACCCGGAUUGGAUUCUUGAAAUUGGAUCCAAUUGGCUCUUCGAACCAAGCUCACCCGUCGUGUGAAUUGGUCAUUUCUCUUCCUGCUGACUCCCGUUAUUGGAAUCGAAUGGAGCAUUUCAGUAUGCCCCGGCUGACUAUAAUGGGGUGACUGAACCUGACCACUCAGUAUUUACACUGGAGUUGGUCGUUGCUCCCAAUAUUCGAGGUAACUGAACAUUAAUAAAAGUCCCUUUUCUUUAUAUUUUCACAAAAUACUCGUGUUACAACACGACAUCCACCGCCACUGAACCUAUGCAUCCUCCGGUAUGCACCAAUUUACCCAAUUGCUGUUUGAUUCAAAAUAUAUCCUCUACGUCUUUGUCAUGUUCCUCUUCAUCACCUUCAUUAUCCAAAUCACUUUCAUCUUCUUGCUGCGGAAUCUCUAUACCUUCAUUAAGGUCUUCCAUAUUCAUCUCCGCGUCUCUUCAUUUAAAUAUUUUUACUCGCUUCCCUGCAAUUGGUAUUUUCAAUUUCGUACCAUCUAACUCCCGUAAUGAGUAAGUCACAUUAUCAUGAACAGUUGUUACUACAUAUGGUCUAAACCAACGUUUUAAAAAUUUUUGCAAAGUACUAUGUUGAUUAUCCAGACUAUUAUCAUAAACAAGUACCCAGUCACCUUCCUCGAUUACUUUAGGUCUCAAUCGAUGUUGCUUAUCGAAUCGCGCCUUGUUUUGUAACCUUGCUCUUUUUAACCUUUUCAAUGCUAUCUGGACAUCUUCCGAUCUUUGCUCCAAUUGUCGAAUUCUAAUAGCCAGAAGUUCUUCUCUUGUCAAUCCAUCUUCCCAUGGUAGCAUACUCCAAGUAAGUACCUUUUCUUCAAUCGGCAUAAUUGAUUUUUCACCUGUCAUAAGUUCUACUAGCAUAUAUCAUGUCACCGAACUAUGUGUUGUUCGAUCAGCCCAUAAUGCAAAUGACAAAAGCCGUGGCCACUCUUUAACUUUCCCAUUACAAGCUUUAACUAAUGCUUUCACAAUUGGUGGGUGACCGCGUUUGCUUUUUACAUUCCCUUUCGGAUUAUAAGCAGUAGUCAGUGAUAGUUUAAUUCCACAUCUUUCAAAGAACUUACGAGCUUCUUGUGCAUUUAAUUCUCCAUGUUCUGCAGUGAUUUUUCCUACGCAUCCGUAGCGGCAAAUGACAUCUUCAAGCAAAAAUCUACAAAUCCCCUCUGUAGAUUUUGUCCUCAUUGAUCUUCCUUCUACUUGAUUUGAUAAAUCUUCAUGAGCUAAAAUCAAAUAUCUCAUCUGCCAUAACCCAACCGGCAUACUGACCAAAUCAACAACCCAUUUAAAAUAAAUAGCCAGAGAAUAUGUAGGAUGAAGGCCAUCUCGAUGUCGGAUAUUAGAAUACGAUUGACAGAUUUCACAUGACUCUACAAAUGAGAGCACAUCUCGAUACAUAUUUUUCCACCAAUAUCGUUCCUUGAGUUUAGCAAAAGUAGCCCAGAUUCCUCUAUGCCCUGCCCAUAAACUAUCAUGAAACUCCUUUAAUAAUUUUAGUCUUUCUUCUUUUUUGCCUAUCACUCAUUGUGGCAUCCCAAUUCCUUUCUUCGGUCUCUUCCAUAAGAAUCCAUCUUGAAAUAAAAAUCCAUAUGCUUUUUUUCAUAUUUGUUUGAAUUUUUCUGUAGACCAAUUCCUCUGCUUAGUCAAGGUAUUCAAGUAAUGACCAAUAUCCAAUAAUUCUCCUUCAUAAGAUUCUUCAAGAAAUAGCUUGUCUUCUCUGUUGAGAUUUGAUAUUGAAUAGAAUUUCAAUCCGACGUCAUCAAUGUCUUCUACCAUUUCGUCCUCCCUCUCGUAUCUUGCUCGAGAUAGCAUGUCUGCUACUAAAUUAUCCUUCCCAGUAAUAUGCUUAAAUUCUUGAUUUAGUGACUUAAUAUAAGCAAUCCAUCUCAACAUUGCAAUAUCUGGCGUUGAACAAUUAAUAAUCAUUCCAAGCAAUGGCAAGCAACCUGUUUCAAUUACUACUACUGCCACAAUCAAAUAAUCCUUUUCAGCUUUCAUAGUCGAAACGACUCUUCAAAGUUCUCUUUUGACUUGCGAAUAUGCACGCUGACGAAUACUUAAAACUUUAGCCUCAAACCGAACUGCAAAUCUAUUUCCACUGGAAUCAUCUUAACCCACAGUCCACCCAAUGGCAAUUGGACUAGCGUCCACAGUAAGAAUCACUGGUCUAUUGCACUUAUAAUCAACCUUCCUCAAUAUUGGAGGUGACAUCAAUAAUUUCUUCAAUCUUUGCAUUGCCUGAAUAUGCCUUUCUUCCCAUUUAAAUUGGUAACCCUUGCGUAACAGUUCAUAUAAUGGAUCCGCUAUGUAAGCAAAAUGAGGGAUCCAGAUUCGAUAAAAUAUACAUGCACCCAAAAACCUGCGAACCUCUGUUAAAGAAUCACAAUCCUCUUUCAUCCUUCCAAUUGCAUCAACUUUAGUCGGAUCUGGUUUUCUUCCAUAAGAUCCACAUAAAUGUCCAACAAUUACAACCUCUCGUACUCCAAAUACGGACUUCAUAUCCGAUAAUGUAAGAUGAACUUCUCCAAGCCGAGUUAAAAUCUUUUCACAAUCUUGUAUAUGAUCAACAACAUAUUUGUGACACCCCCUCGUAUCUAAAGUUUCAUCCUUCUCUCCUUCUCUGCACCCUUUUAUAGGAACAUCAUCCAGAAAAGGCAUAGUUUUUUCCGAAAUAAAAUCUCACAAUACCUUAUUCAUCCCAUUCAUCAUAUGCGCAACUGAGUUGGUCGCGCCUUGAGGAAGAGUGCACAUUCUAACCAAUCCAAGUGGUGUCCUCAUUGUUGUCAUAUCUCUACUUCCUUCGUCAAGUUGAAAUUGAUCAUAACCUGAAUACAAGUUACCUAUUGAAUAGAUCGCCCUUCCAGCAAACGCCUCAGCAAAUUCAUCCACAAUAGGUCCAAUUCCUGCAUUUCUGACAGUCACUACAUUCACCGGUUGCAUAUCUUGAAUAAACCAUAGUGACCCAUUCUUCUUAGGUACCGUAAACCAUUGACUAGAAUACGGCGCAAAUGAAGGUUUUAAUAUUUUCAUCUUUAUCUUUUCUUUUAAUAGUUCAACCAAUUUAGGUAAAUGUACCCUCGGUACUGGAAUCGAUCUUAGAUUCCAAGGUACAUGUGGUACAGUGAAGAUAACCAUAGGUGUUAUAAUAUUUGGAUCCACACACCCAAUUUCAUGAGAUUCGAAGGCAAACGAUCUACCUUAUUUAGCCAACAUCUUUUUGAAGCAAGUAAUUUCCUCUGGCAAUAAAGAACCAUCAGAAUCAAUCUUCAAUUCUUCAAAAGUCACUCUAGUAAACUGGUGUCCAAUACUCAUUGGAUCUCUUAAACUUGCUUCUUUUGAUGCUUCUCCCAUUUGUUCUUUAGAAUCUUCUGGUAAUGGUCCGGCAAUAGGCUUUACCUUCUUAUCUGCCAUUUUAUAUCUCAUCUCUACAGUGACUUCUGGUGCUUGAAAAGAUUCAAGGAUGGUAUAAACCUCUCUUGAAUGAAUCUCAACAAUCUUAUCAUUAUCUCCUAACCCAAUAGAUGUAAUCAAUUCCAAUGAAUCUUCCAGUCCAUUUUCUUCAUAAACACCUAAAAUCCUCUCUUCAUCUUACAAUGUACCUAACUUGCAUAAUUGUCCUUCAAUAUCAUAUAAUCUUUUUCUUUCUUUUCUUUUAAAAUCAUCAACUUUCUUAUACAUAAUAUUUCCAUUCUCCAAUAUACCAAUAAAACUCGCAUCAAAGGCACCUUCAUCUCGCGAGAGUACCUCCAUCUUUAUACCUCCAUAAUCUCGCUUUACAGUGGUACCUCCCCAAAAUCCUUAAAUCCUUCAACAAUCUUUGGCAAUGGUUUCUCCCUCAACCUAUCUCGAUUCCGUUCAUGGUUAGGAGGUACUGUUAGAAAUUGUACAGCUUUCCUCCCAUCUUCGCUCCGUACCCUUGCAUAAGCAGAACCAUCGUCAAGUACUUUUGUUUCCAUCCGUGUUGCCAUAAUAUAAGGUUGUCCUAAAAUCAACGGAUAAGACGUUGUAUCUUGAACAAAGAAAUGUUGCUUCGUCGCAACAUCCCCAAUCCAAAUUUUGACAUCUGGACAAGCUCCAUAUAAUUCGCCCCGUGUGUUAUUAGCUUCUCGAAUUGUCCAUCCAUGUUCCAUAUCAAUUGGCCAUUUUUGCUUCUUAUAAAGAUCUUUAGACAUGAGAUUUAUUUCAGAACCAUGGUCGACUAAAGUAACAAUUGGUUCUUCUAUAUCUCUUACUUUCACCAAUACCUCAGUAGUUGCCCUUGCCCAAUGCUUUCGAGUGUAAUGGCUCAAAGUUUCCAUUUCCUUGUCACUAAAAUCUUCGAAAUGUACUCGUUGAUUAUACCCAUUCUUUUCAUUUGUUGGUUGCUUGUAACCAAUAUCAACCUCUUCUUCAUCUCUAUAUAUUCUUGCAUCAUUAGCAUGACUCAUUCCAGUUUCGCCCAUUAAUUACAUCUUUAGCUUAAUGCUGUCAAUGAUAACAUCAUGAAACUCCUUCUUUGCAAUUCCCAAGACUUCUUUCAAUGUGAAUUCCACCUUAGCGUUUAAUAUACGUUCUUCCAACACCUCUUUCAAAUUUGUUGCUGCUUCAAUGUCAGAAAGUAGUUUAUAAGCAAUUGAUUUGCCCUUAUCUUUUGUCUCCUUUGUUUUUUCUCCCAAUGAUGCUGAGGUAUCUUUUAUAGGCAAUUCUUGUGAAGCUGCCUCUCGAGCCUUGUCUCCUGGAGUUUGCCUCUUAAAAGAAUUUCCUUCUCUAGUAUCAUCAAAAUUUCCUCGUCUCUUUUCUUCCAUCAAAGCUUCAUGUUGGCUCUUAGCAAUAUAUGCAUGAACUGAAAGAGACUCAACAGGAUCCUCCCAACCUGUUCUACCUCGUAUUGUAGCUGCAGUCGUCAAUAACGCUUCUCGAGGUAAUUUCCGUUCUUGCAUUGUAGAAACGGCAGAAGCCCAAAACUCACUAGUUUCCGUACUUCCACCAAUUUUAUCAUCUACUCUAGCACCAUAACUUGCACUUUCUCGUGCUGCUGUUUCAUGCUCUUUUAGGUAAUCUUGAAUCAAUGCUCUCAUUCCUCCCUUGCCAAAAUUGGUUUGAAGAAGAUCUUCCCUAUUUUUCAAUGCUAUCUUCCCAUCUUUCUAGCAAAUAAUUCCCUACCGUAUCAUAUUAUUAAAUUCAUUGCAAUCUUUUCUAGUGUGUGAAGCAUCAUCACACCAAAUGCAUCUUUGUACGUAUCCUUGUUUUGAAACAUUCUUCGAAUUGUUUAUAGAAGUAUUCUCUUCAAGUCUUGCCAAUUUGAUUUGAAGAUCUCGCAUUCCUCAUAUAAUUUCUUCCAUCUCCAUAUCUGCUUUCUUUGAUAAGGAUGUCGAAGGUUGAACUGUAGGCAUUGUUGGUGGUGUUGUACGUACUGGAGCUUUGGGUGCUUGUACUGUUUUCGGAAUAUUGCUCCUAUCCUUCUUCCUUUCUCUUUUUGUAAGCAACCCCACUGCAUCUUCAACGUUCUUCUACUUUGUUGUCAAUCCUUCAUCUUCUUCUUUGUCUUCAAGAAGGAGUUCUAAUUUCCCUUGCAAUUCUCUAUCAGUAGCUUGAAGAAAUAGAUCAACUUUGUUCGACAUCAAUGUUAAUUUUUCUACCUUCGACAAUUGAGGAUAGUGCCUCUCAUAUUCCCUUAGUAGCUCUGUUGCUUGCAAAUUCUUAUUGGGCCAUUCAAUCCAUUCCAGAAACAGCUUCUUAGUAACCUGAUUAGCAUCUUCCAAGAAAUAUUCGUCUUUCAAUACAUGUGAAAAAACCUCCCAUGAAUUCCCAUAACGAUCCGUAAUCGAUGUAAUGUGGUCUCUUAUCUUCGGUAUUGUGGCAAGUCCAAAUAGUGCAACCAUUUUCUUCUCAAAAACCCGAUUUAAUUCCAUUUCACGACCAUAACAUCUUAAAUACCUUGAAAUAUUCCUCCCAUCAAAUUGAUCAAUUUUAUUGACCACUGCUUGCAAUGCUUUGGUUGCCAAAGCUUCCUUUCGAUCAUUGCUUUGCUGUUGCUACAUUGAUAAUGAGAAGGCUUGAAACAUAUUAGCAAUAGACGGAUCCAUGUGCAUACCUUGUCCUUUAGAAGAAUCCUCACCAGAAACUCCUCCCAAAAAUCCUUCAAAAUUUAUAUUUUUGUUUUGCAUAAAAUAAAGAUAAAAUCAACCAAAAUCCAAUACCUUCCACCCUAAGCUUUCACGUCCGGUUCACCACUUUUGUCAUAUUACGUGCUUUUCUGCUCGAGAAUGCGCCAAGCGUCUGGCUGUAGAAGGUAGUAUGGAGAUUCGCCAAUAGUCAAGCAGUCUAUCAGUUUUUGACUGCUGGAAUAUAAACGACUGCAAGAAUACACCGUAAAUCUAUACGGAUGCCCUUCGACUGCUUGUCGAAGUCCUUUUUGCCCCAGCCGGUAGGUCUCUAGACGUUAUAGAGAACCCCGAACAACCCAAUCUGCUAAUCUCCAAUACUGCUUUGUACUUAC
rnacentral:lncRNA from 1 species